UGUUUUCGGGUAAGGCUGCGUGUCACUUGGACGAAACGGCAGGUCUAGACAGCAUAAUCAACGGCCGAAACUGAUCUGAUAAAACCUGCUGUUAGCUUCGAAAUGAACCGAAACUAAUUAAAAAGGUACAAAUCGACAAUCAACAACAGGUAAAAAAUAACAAAAAUGAUGAAUCCGGAAACUAAACUUUCAUGAUGCUAAAUUGAAAUCGCGGCAGACGUUAGUAAUCAACGCGGAAGGCUAACUUGUUCCUCAUGGUGGUGAAUCUGAAAGACAAUUGCAUUAGAAGAUUAGCUUGUGAUUCCUACUGUGAAAAUAUGGCAAACCCCCCAAAAUACGAACAAUAGUGACUCACAUGACUAGCGGACGGCGGAUCUUGACGUCACGUUCGACGAAACUUGGAGUCGACGUCAUCAGUUUGGUAUCUCCGACGAUUUUGCGAAAGAAAAAAGAAGCAGGAGGAGGAGGUUUUUAGUCUGAAAGAGGGAGAAAA
rnacentral:lncRNA from 1 species